UACGGAGGGUGCUAGCGUUGUUCGGAAUUACUGGGCGUAAAGCGCGUGCAGGCGGUUUGGUAAGACGGGCGUGAAAGCCCCGGGCUCAACCUCGGAACUGCCUUUGAUACUGCAAGUCUAGAGUCCGGAAGAGGUGAGUGGAAUUCCUAGUGUAGAGGUGAAAUUCGUAGAUAUUAGGAAGAACACCAGUGGCGAAGGCGGCUCACUGGUCCGGUACUGACGCUGAGGUGCGAAAGCGUGGGGAGCAAACAGG
rnacentral:rRNA from 1 species